UACGUAGGGUGCAAGCGUUAAUCGGAAUUACUGGGCGUAAAGCGUGCGCAGGCGGCUUUGCAAGACAGAUGUGAAAGCCCCGGGCUCAACCUGGGAAUGGCGCGCGAGACGGGGGGGCUGGAGUUCGGGAGAGGAGCGUGGAAUUCCCAGUGUAGAGGUGAAAUUCGUAGAGAUCGGGAGGAACACCAGUGGCGAAGGCGGCUACCUGGACCAGCACUGACACUGAGGCACGAAAGCGUGGGGAGCAAACAGG
rnacentral:rRNA from 1 species